AUUGAACGCUGGCGGCAGGCCUAACACAUGCAAGUCGAACGGUAACAGGAAACAGCUUGCUGUUUCGCUGACGAGUGGCGGACGGGUGAGUAAUGUCUGGGAAACUGCCUGAUGGAGGGGGAUAACUACUGGAAACGGUAGCUAAUACCGCAUAACGUCGCAAGACCAAAGAGGGGGACCCUCGGGCCUCUUGCCAUCGGAUGUGCCCAGAUGGGAUUAGCUUGUUGGUGGGGUAACGGAUCACCAAGGCGACGAUCCCUAGCUGGUCUGAGAGGAUGACCAGCCACACUGGAACUGAGACACGGUCCAGACUCCUACGGGAGGCAGCAGUGGGGAAUAUUGCACAAUGGGCGCAAGCCUGAUGCAGCCAUGCCGCGUGUAUGAAGAAGGCCUUCGGGUUGUAAAGUACUUUCAGCGGGGAGGAAGGGAGUAAAGUUAAUACCUUUGCUCAUUGACGUUACCCGCAGAAGAAGCACCGGAUAACUCCGUG
rnacentral:rRNA from 1 species